GUGGGGAAUCUUCCGCAAUGGACGAAAGUCUGACGGAGCAACGCCGCGUGAGUGAAGAAGGUUUUCGGAUCGUAAAGCUCUUUCGUUAGGGACGAACGUGCUCUUUGUGAAUAAUGAGGAGUAAUGACGGUACCUAAAUAAGAAGCCACGGCUAACUACGUGCCAGCAGCCGCGGUAAUACGUAGGUGGCAAGCGUUGUCCGGAAUUAUUGGGCGUAAAGCGCGCGCAGGCGGGAUAUCAAGUCUGUCUUAAAAGUGCGAGGCUCAACCUCGUGAGGGGACAGAAACUGGUAUUCUUGAGUGUCGGAGAGGAAAGUGGAAUUCCAAGUGUAGCGGUGAAAUGCGUAGAGAUUUGGAAGAACACCAGUGGCGAAGGCGACCUUCUGGACGAUGUCUGACGCUGAGGCGCGAAAGCUAGGGGAGCGAACGGGAUUAGAUACCCGUGUAGUCC
rnacentral:rRNA from 1 species